CCUACGGGAGGCAGCAGUGGGGAAUAUUGGACAAUGGGGGGAACCCUGAUCCAGCGACGCCGCGUGAGUGAAGAAGUAUUUCGGUAUGUAAAGCUCUAUCAGCAGGGAAGAAAGGAAUGACGGUACCUGACUAAGAAGCCCCGGCUAACUACGUGCCAGCCGCCGCGGUAAUACGUAGGGGGCAUGCGUUAUCCGGAUUUACGGGGUGGAAAGGGAGCGUAGACGGUUACGCAAGUGUGGAGUGAAAGGCGCGGGCCCAACCCCCGGACUGCAUUGGAAACUGUAUAACUGGAGUGCAGGAGAGGUAAGUGGAAUUCCUAGUGUAGCGGUGAAAUGCGUAGAGAUUAGGAGGAACACCAGUGGCGAAGGCGGCUUACUGGACUGUAACUGACGUUGAGGCUCGAAAGCGUGGGGAGCAAACAGGAUUAGAUACCCGUGUAGUC
rnacentral:rRNA from 1 species